rnacentral:rRNA from 1 species
CAACCGAGAUUCCGAAAGUAGCGGCGAGCGAAAUUGGACUAGCCCUUAAGCUUUACACGCGUUAGACGAACGGUCUGGAAAGUCCGACGAUACAGGGUGAUAGUCCCGUAGUUGACGACGUGUGUUCAGUGAAAUCGAGUAGGGCGGGACACGUGAUAUCCUGUCUGAAUAUGGGGGGACCAUCCUCCAAGGCUAAAUACUACUGACUGACCGAUAGUGAACCAGUACCGUGAGGGAAAGGCGAAAAGAACCCCUGUGAGGGGAGUGAAAUAGAACCUGAAACCGUGUACGUACAAGCAGUAGGAGCAGGCUUUGUCCUGUGACUGCGUACCUUUUGUAUAAUGGGUCAGCGACUUAUAUUCAGUGGCAAGGUUAACCAUCUAGGGGAGCCGUAGGGAAACCGAGUCUUAACUGGGCGUUCAGUCUCUGGAUAUAGACCCGAAACCAGGUGAUCUAGCCAUGGGCAGGUUGAAGGUUGAGUAACAUCAACUGGAGGACCGAACCGACUAAUGUUGAAAAAUUAGCGGAUGACUUGUGGCUAGGGGUGAAAGGCCAAUCAAACCUGGAGAUAGCUGGUUCUCCCCGAAAGCUAUUUAGGUAGCGCCUCGGACGAAUACUACUGGGGGUAGAGCACUGUUAAGGCUAGGGGGUCAUCCCGACUUACCAACCCUUUGCAAACUCCGAAUACCAGUAAGUACUAUCCGGGAGACACACGGCGGGUGCUAACGUCCGUCGUGGAGAGGGAAACAACCCAGACCGCCAGCUAAGGUCCCAAAUUACUACUAAGUGGGAAACGAUGUGGGAAGGCUCAGACAGCCAGGAUGUUGGCUUAGAAGCAGCCAUCAUUUAAAGAAAGCGUAAUAGCUCACUGGUCGAGUCGGCCUGCGCGGAAGAUGUAACGGGGCUAAGUAGUAAACCGAAGCUGCGGCAAUGUGCUUUUGCACAUUGGGUAGGGGAGCGUUCUGUAAGCGGUUGAAGGUGUGUGGUAACGC